rnacentral:rRNA from 1 species
UACGUAGGUGGCGAGCGUUGUCCGGAUUUACUGGGCGUAAAGGGCGUGCAGGCGGUUUGUUAAGUGCAGGGUGAAAGCUCCCGGCUCAACUGGGAGAGGUCCUUGCAUACUGGCGAACUCGAGGGAGGCAGAGGAAAGUGGAAUCCCGGUGUAGUGGUGAUAUGGCGUAGAUAUCGAGGAGGAACACCGGUCGGCGAAGGCGGGUCUCUGGGCCGGCAAUACUGACGUGGAGGAGCGAAAGCCGUUGGGGGAGGCGAA